UACGUAGGGCGCAAGCGUUGUCCGGAAUUAUUGGGCGUAAAGAGCUCGUAGGCGGUUUGUCGCGUCUGCUGUGAAAUCCCGAGGCUCAACCUCGGGUCUGCAGUGGGUACGGGCAGACUAGAGUGUGGUAGGGGAGAUUGGAAUUCCUGGUGUAGCGGUGGAAUGCGCAGAUAUCAGGAGGAACACCGAUGGCGAAGGCAGAUCUCUGGGCCAUUACUGACGCUGAGGAGCGAAAGCAUGGGGAGCGAACAGG
rnacentral:rRNA from 1 species